UACGAAGGGGGCUAGCGUUGUUCGGAAUUACUGGGCGUAAAGCGCGCGCAGGCGGUCUUCCAAGUCAGUGGUGAAAGCCCGGAGCUCAACUCCGGAAUUGCCAUUGAAACUGUUAGACUUGAGGAUGAGAGAGGCGAGUGGAAUUCCCAGUGUAGAGGUGAAAUUCGUAGAUAUUGGGAAGAACACCGGUGGCGAAGGCGGCUCACUGGCUCAUUACUGACGCUCAGGCGCGAUAGCGUGGGGAUCAAACAGG
rnacentral:rRNA from 1 species